CUUGGAAAUGGCGAGGAAACCGUUACCAUUACUGAGUUUAGUAAUGGUAACGGUUCUGUUGCUGCUUCCAAA
ensembl:miRNA